UCAGAAUCCUUGGCAUAAAUGGGAUAAUAAUAAGGAAGUUCCUGGUAUUGUUGAUGUUAUAGUUCCUAACAAAGCAUACAACUGAAUUCAGAUAAAAGAAAGUUUCUGAUUAAAAGGGACCAUAUGAAUGAAAAAUUUUAGAAGUUAUUGGAAAUUUCUUUUAGCUGCUAAUCGUUGUCAUAUGUUAAUCAUAAGAGAAGUGAAACACCAGCCAAGAUUUUUGUAACAUGCUUUAUUAAUUUGGUUAACAACUUUCUUAAAACGUAUUUUAAAAACUAUUAGCAUUCUGUAUGAUAGCACACAUAAAUUAUGUCAGCCGAACAGUACGGCAGGUUACAUCAUUGUGACAUUUAUGAAGCCAGCAUCUGCUGUGCAUGAUGGGCUGGCUUUUUCGAAAGCCUAUCUAAGGGUUUUACAGCUGGCUUUCCAAAUAUAUGCCCUUCCGUCUUCUUAAAGCGACACACACACACACAGACCGGUGCUGGGUUUGGAUUUUCAUCCAGAUUUCUCACUUAGCAGGGUCUGUUUGAGUGUCGGUUUUCAUGUAUGCCAGCGGUGAAGUCCUGAGUGUUAAGCAGAUGUGUCAGGACAACACCUAGAUGUCCAGACUGAGGCUGUAAUCCCCUUUUAGUCCAAGUGCAGAAGCAGAUAUUACUAACAGUUGGCUGAGAGUGCUGAGUGCUAUAAAAACUAGUCACGCUUUACUGUCUUGAAAAAUACAGAGGCAGUUAAUUUUGGAGGGUGUUUUGUUGUGUUUUUUUGUUGUUGUUGUUGUUUGUUUUGGUUUGGUUUUUUAAUAUUUGACACUGAUGUUACAGAUAAGACUUUUUAUUUGUUUCAGAAGAAUCUACCUGUCUAACUCUCACCGAAAUCUGGCAGUUCAGUGCCUUCAUGUAUUUAAUGGGCCAGGGUCUGGCCCUCUCAGCCUUUUUAGGCACUUCAGUUAUCCUUUGCACUGUGCUGGAGAAAAGGCUCAAGAUGUGCCUGUAGGGUUCUGUAAAUGCAAAGAAAACAGGGUUUUAAGGAACUUAGGAUCUGGGCACAAGCAAAAGCAGGACUGCUGGUAAAAUAACACCGGUCUCACCAGACACAGCGCAGGACUGGGGGAGAGAGAGGAUAGUGUGCACCUUUCAGUACUUAAUGGAAGCAAAUGUGACCUGGAAAUGGCUGAGCAAAACAGUAUCUGAAAGUACUGUGCAUUGGACUAAAUGAAACAGAUGCCUCUAGUACACUUCUUUGGUAAACACACUCUGAGAAUCCUCCAUCCAAUUGUAAGUGAUUAUAUGGCUAAAAAUGCAUUCUGUAAUAGAGAAAACAGAUGCAGUGAUAAUUAUCCCAGUGCCCUGCAUGUCAAAUAUUAACUAUUGGUGGUGGAAAUAAAGAGGCUGAAAUCAGAACCAAGUGGGAU